CCCCCGGGGAAGGCCUGAUUGGCAUGAGAGUAAUUACAUUCCCCUUGCCAAUGACCGGAACAAGAAAAGUCUCAUGACCUCAUUUUGGACAACAAAAUUCAGAGAGAGAGAGAGAGAGAGAGAGAGAGAGAGAGAGAGAGAGGGAGGCUGAGAGGUCCCAGGAAAGUUGUUCGUACUCUUAGGAGAGACAGAGAAAAAGUCAGACGUUUUCCCACCGGACUUAAAAAACAAAGCGUGAGGAGAGCCGGAGGUUGCUGCUUCCGCCUCGGGAGGCUGAUCCUGGAGCUGGGGAGAAGCUGAUCCUGUACCUCCCUGCACACUUUCAAGCCUGUCCAGUUCUCUGCCUUUGCAUGUGCUGUGAAGUGCAAGCACCUGGGAAGCUCAGGAUGGGCAAAAAUGCCACAUCCGGAGGCGGGAGCCACACUGUGGGUCCAACAGCAUCAUGUGAGAACAAUGGGAAGAGGUAACCAACACAUAUGAAAGAUGGAUAACAAAGGAGGGCCCAGAGAUGAAGAGUUUGCUUUGAGACUGAUCCUGUGUGCUUUGACUGGGUGGAGCUUCCUGGGCACAAUAGGCAGAAGACAUGUUUUCAAUGGCAGAUGGUGCCUCUUUGUAGAAUUUAUAAAGAUUUCCUAAUAGUAUGGGUUUCACACUAAAAUGCUGUUUCUGGUUGCUUUGUCCCACCAAGUGUCCCUGAGCCUUCCGGCUGGAGUUCAAGGAGUAGGUCCUAAGAAUUCCAUUCUUGGGGGGACUGCCUUCCUGGGUGGAUCAUUUAGGAUGGACCCCCUGGGAAAUCAGCGCUUGCUCUUGUGCCCACAUGGGGGUUGAGUGUGUGGGUGUGAAUUGCUGGGUGGAAAGCUGGCACAAAGGGUGCCACCCUGACAAUGAGGGCAGAGCAGGAGAUGUGGCAAAGAGGUGCUGAUAGGAAUCUCUGGGCAUGGGGUGGGGAAGUGCAAUUCCUGGCAUGAAAAGGGUGGCAGCAGUUGUAAAACUGGUCCCCUCCACCUCCCUCCUCCUGUUUUCCUGAGCUCUUGUUCAAACAAUUAUACCCUCUUUGACACACGUUUAAUCUCCCAUCUGUACUGGCUCCUUCCUCUUAUCUUCCGGUAGAUGUAAGUUUUCCCUUUCUCCCCAGAGAGCUUCCCUAGUGUUCACCUCCCUCCCGGCUUCCUGCAGACUGGCUUCUGUGCACCUUGCCCCUCCACUGAAACAGCCCAGCUCAGGCUGCCUCUGAGCCAGCUGCCAGUCUCGGUCUUACUUGGCUUUUCUGUAGCUUGAAGUCCCAUCCCCCACCUUCCCCUUGCUCCCUGGGGAUUCCAGGAUGCAUCUCCCCAGGUCUCCGCAUACUUCUGUGGCUGCUCUUUGUCUCCUAGCUCCUCCAUCUUCACCCAUGCUUUAAAUGUUAUUGUUUCCAGAGCUAAGGCUACCCACUUUAAGAAGCAGCAAAAGGUACAUCGUACUCUGAUUGGGCUGGGGGCGAGGCUUAGUCCACGCCCUGUGCUGUGAACACCCCGCACAGGUGCCUGCUGCAGCCCCAGGUAGCAUCCCUGGUUCUCACCAACUUCUUGUUCUGUCCUCUUUCCUUCUGUAACAUCCUGACUUUCAUGGUUCCAGCUAUAACCUAUGUGUUUACCUAAUCUCCAGAUACCUUUUCACCUGCCUCUUGGACUUCUUUUGCUGGGUAUCUAUGGGUACCCCAAACUUGCCAUGGUUCAAAUUGAACCCAGACCUGAACAUCCCCAAACUCCAAAAUAUCCCCUUUUUUUUAUUCCCUCUCUUGAUUAACGACAUGUUCCAUCCUCUCAUUCAGUUAAACACUUAGAGAUUAUCUGUGCCUCUUCCGUUUCCACAGUUGAAAGCUUUUGUCAUCUCCCAAGUACACAACUGGAAUAGCCUUCUUAUUAGUUUCCUUAUCUUCAAGGUCUAUUUCCUCCUCAUUGCCACCACAUUUCUUCUAAAGAUUUUAAAAAAUGUUUAUCUAUUUAUUUGAAAGGCAGAGAGAGAGAAAGAUCUUCCAUCUGUUUGUUCACUCUCCAAAUAGCCUCAACGACCCAGGCUGGGUCAGGCCAAAGCCAGGAACCAGGAGCUUCUUUCAGGUCUCCCACAAGGGCCCAAGCACUCGGGCCAUCUUCUGCUACUUUCCCAGGUAUAUUGGUGGGGAGCUGGAUUCGAAGUGGAGAAGCCGAGACUAGAACCAGUGCCCAUAUAGGAUGCUGGCACUGCAGGCAGAGCCUUCAUCUGCUACGCCACAGCCCAGAUUUCUUUCUUUACAUAGAUGUGAGCACAUUGCUCCUUUAUUUAAACAUCUAUUCUGGUUUCUAAUUAAUGAUAAGAUAAAGUCCAGAUGCUCAGAUGUGGCACAUAAAAACCUUCAUAUCCUGGUCCAAACAUAUUUUUCUAGACCUACACCUUGCCUCGGAACCCCACACAGUAAUGCCCUUAGCCACAUCACACUAUGAUGCAGUCUUUUUUUUUUUUUUUUUUUUUUUUUUUUUUUUUUUUUUUUU